UCCGCGUAUAUAGGUAUAGCGUUGAUAAUCGCUUUCGCGAUUCCGCCAACGGGACCGGGAUCUGCUCCAGUUUCGCCUUUGUUCCGUCCCGACCCGAGAUCGAGCGUUGUUCUAAGCGCGUAUCUUCUCGUGUUGGCGUUUUUUUGUGGAUAGGUUAGCGUGAAUGGAUUGGGAGACACAAAGCUGUGGGGAUGGUUGUUUCGAAACUGAAGUGUGGGGUUGAGCGAUGAGGGAUGUGACUCGUCGAUAUUGAAAGCGACGCUUUUGGAUUGGAAGUUUGAUCGUGAAAAAACACGAGGAAAUAUUCAAAAACGGAAAUCAGACCGGAAGAUAGUGCGACAGCAGCGCCACAGUAUACGACCUAAUAUCCAUUUUCACAGGAGGAGCAUUAUUUAAAUAGCCAGACGUCGGAGACGACGGAGAUAUUUUUUUAAAUAAAAACUCAUUUACUAGA